rnacentral:lncRNA from 1 species
AUAAAUGUUCAGAAAAUGUUUACAUUUAGCUUUUUAUAGUAUAUGUGAAAUUAUGGGGAAAACAUUAUUUUCCUAAGUAUUUUCUUAAACAUAUGUAUGUGUAUAUGUAUACAACUUUGACAAGAUGUAGGAAAUGCUUGUUUACAUUCAGCAUUUACAGUGUAUGCAUAUAUUCAGUUUUUUUAUAGUAUGUCUGAAGUCCAGGAAAAGUCGUAUUUUCCUGAAUAUAGGAAGAACCAAGAAAAAAACUGAUGAAAGCGCUACAGCAUUUUAUUCCUCUAGUACUAGAGUAACUUACAGAUAAAAUCUAACUCUUCAAGAUUUUAUAAAGAGUAUCAGCUAUGAGGCUAGCAUAACCCCUGUACCAAAUUUGGAAAAGGGCAGCAUCCAGGUCCAAUCAGCUACAAAAAUAAUCCAGUGUACUCAUGGUAUAUGAAUGUUCCAAUUAAAAUAGCAAAUCAAAUCUAGCAGCCCAUUAAAAGAAAACAGGGUGGUGGUGUUUGUUUUUUUUCUUUUAAUCUGAAAUAAAAUGGUUCAUGACCUGGCCUGUCAGAUUGUAGAAACUGUAAUGUGUAAAUGUAGUGUUUGCACAUUGAAAACUAGACACUUAACUUAUCCAUCAAAAAUAGUAAACUGUUAACAGCAAAUGAUACUCAAUUGCUAUGAGAUUGUCCAUUAAUUGUGCAUCUGUAGACAUUCACAGCAUUUGGAAUAAUCACCACCAUCAGAUUCCACCUUUGCCCAUGCUUCAGAAAUACAUACUUUGAUGUACACAUAUAUUAUGCAACAAAUUAAAUCGG